rnacentral:rRNA from 1 species
GACGAACGCUGGCGGCGUGCCUAACACAUGCAAGUCGAGCGGGGUUGAAGCGAGGGGUAACUCGAGUUUCUACCUAGCGGCGGACGGGUGAGUAACGCGUGGGCAACCUGCCUCAAGGACUGGGAUAACAGCUCGAAAGGGCUGCUAAUACCGGAUAAGCCUAUGGCCUCGCAUGGGGCCAUGAGCAAAGGGGAAACCCGCCUUGAGAUGGGCCCGCGUCCCAUCAGCUAGUUGGUGGGGUAACGGCCUACCAAGGCUAAGACGGGUAGCCGGUCUGAGAGGAUGGCCGGCCACACUGGAACUGAGACACGGUCCAGACUCCUACGGGAGGCAGCAGUGGGGAAUCUUGGGCAAUGGGGGAGACCCUGACCCAGCGACGCCGCGUGAGGGAUGAAGGUUUUCGGAUCGUAAACCUCUGUUGUACGGGAAGAAGGAUGUGACGGUACCGUACGAGUAAGCCCCGGAAACUACGUAG